GAUGAACGCUGGCGGCGUGCUUUAUACAUGCAAGUCGAGCGAACGCACGAGAAGCUUGCCUCUCUGGUGUUAGCGGCGGGAGGGUGAGUAAGACACGGACAACCUACUUAUAAGUAUGGGAUCACUUCGGGAAAUCGGAGCGAAUACCGGCUAAUAUUUUGAACGGCAUGGCUCACAAGUGAAAUACGGUCCUGCCGUUUCGUACAGACGGAUCCGCGUUGGAUUAGCUAGUUGGUAAGGUAACGGCUUACCAAGGCAACGAUGCGUAGCCGAGCUGAGAGGAUGAUCGGCCACACUGGGACUGAGACACGGUCCAGACUCCUACGGGAGGCAGCAGUGGGGAAUCUUGGACAAUGGGCGAAAGCCUGACGAAGCAAUGCCGCGUGAGGGAAGAAGGCCUUCGGGUUGUAAAACUCUGUUGUUAGGGAAGAAAAUAUGUGCAAGAAACUGGGCAGAUCAUGACGGUACCUGAACAAAAAGCAACGGCUAACUACGUG
rnacentral:rRNA from 1 species